ensembl:lncRNA
AGGAGAACCAAGCCCUGAGGGAAGGCAAUGCACAAGCAGCUUCGGAUGACAGCGGCUCACUUCAAGAGCAGGUGAAACAAGUUGGGACAAUGUUGAAGACGUUUGCUCGCACUGGGCAAUCAGGUGCGUUACAUGUUUCCUGAAAGGAGCAUCUGACUGUGAAGGCGGAAAAAGGCGCUGCACAGCUGAGAGGGACCCACAGCCGACCCCUUAAACCUAGGCUGACUACUGACACCUCAGCAUCACUGACAACUGGAACACUUCAUUUAUCCUGCAGUCAGUAACAUCAAUAAGCCAGAAGUGCCAGACUACACUCACCCAAUCCACACUGUUCACAGUGGAAAUUACCUUUUUUUUUGUAUUUUAACUUGAGUAUUGGCUUCUUUCAUUCCGUCAGUGCUUAACGAUUCUAUUAUAGUUUGUAAAUCCUAUUUCAUACCUGUUACUUGAUAUUGCACAUUUAACUAGUACCAAAAUUCUUUCAUUCCAUCAGUGUGCUUAACUUUUAUUCUAUUAAAAAUAGCUUGGAAAUCCUAUUUCAUACCUCUGUUACUUGAUAUUGCACAUUACCUGGUACCAAAUAUUCUACUUACUCUGUUUUUAACAUUGGCUUUUUUCAUUCCGUCGCAGUGUUUAACUGUUAUUCCAUUGUUAAAUAUAACUUGUAAAUCUUUGUGCCACAAGAGACCCAGAUCUUAUUGCAGCACAGUGUAAAUCUUGUGUCCCAGAUCAGCAAUGCCAUUAUAAUGGUCUAUUCUAGAAAUUAUUACCACUUAUCCUAUUGUAAGAAAAUGGCUUGAAAAUGUGAUUUUUAUAUCGAUACAUUUUUUGGUUCCAAAUAUCCUCAUUACUUGUUGUAAUGUUUACUGGUAAUUAUUUUCAUCCCAGAGCUGACCUCUUUAUAUUAUUAACAAUUAUUGUGUUUGUGUUAUAAUGUGCUUGUAAGGCUUUUUUUUUUUACCAAAAUAUAAUUGGAAACCUGCGUGUGUGUGUGUGUGUGUGUAUAUUUUUUUCUGUUAUUUAUAUUUCAGUGAUCUUGACACAUCUUGUUUCAAUAACAGUUACUGUACUUUGAAAUGUGGAAUUAAAACGCC